rnacentral:rRNA from 1 species
CGCGUAGGUGGUUUGUCAGGUCCGAUGUGAAAACCUGGGGCUCAACUCCAGGCCUGCAUCGGAAACCGGCUUACUAGAGUCUGGGAGAGGAGAGUGGAAUUCCUGGUGUAGCGGUGAAAUGCGUAGAUAUCAGGAGGAACACCGGUAACGAAGGCGGCUCUCUGGAACAGUACUGACACUGAGGCGCGAAAGCUAGGGGAGCGAACA